AGCAGGAAAGGUACAGGUGUAUUCACAACCAUUAAUGAUGGCCGCAUUUCACUUAGGAGAGGCCCUGUUAUGAAACAAUUAAUGAUGACUGCAG